UGUCAAGACUUGAAACGGAGUCCUCGUCGUCGGUCAGUCGUUUGUGCACCUCCUCGGUGGUCAUUGGAGACUCCAACAGGUCCCUAAUGGACCCAGCAGAGACAUGAAACCGGAGUCGCGUCCAGUCUUGUUGAAGGAAGUUGCUGGUUUUCCCAAGAAGUACGGAAUCCGAGCAAUACAUUAUUAUUGGUUAUUAUUCGCAGCUAGAGGGCGCUGAAUGGAUCGCAACGUGAGGAAGUUAUCCUGGACAAGAGCAGAGCAGAAGCUUGCUACAUCAUCUUUUAUCAGAAGAGGAUUCAUUAUCCAUUUCAAGGUACCCCUGGAGAUGACCACUUCCAGUUAUCUUUUCUCCAUUGCUAAACUGGACAGCCUUGGAGAUUCCACUUUGGAGAUGUCGCUUUAACAACUCAGCCAGCUAUAAUUUCUUCACUGCCAUACAAAUUGUGCAGCAAGAUGGUUCGGCUCUCAUACCAGGAGGCAAAACAAGAAUUUGUUGAUUUGCGACUUCUAGGUGCAUUAUUUAUGACAAUAAACUUUGGACAUUAUUUAA